UAGUUAUCGCGUUCAACUCCACCUGCA
rnacentral:sRNA from 1 species